rnacentral:rRNA from 1 species
GUGUCAGGUGGGCAGUUUGACUGGGGCGGUAGCCUCCCAAAGCGUAACGGAGGCGCCCACAGGUUCCCUCAGAAUGGUUGGAAAUCAUUCGAAGAGUGUAAAGGCAGAAGGGAGCUUGACUGCGAGAACUACAAGUCGAGCAGGGACGAAAGUCGGGAUUAGUGAUCCGGUGGUUCCGAAUGGAAGGGCCAUCGCUCAACGGAUAAAAGCUACACCGGGGAUAACAGGCUUAUCUCCCCCAAGAGUCCACAUCGACGGGGAGGUUUGGAACCUCGAUGUCGGCUCAUCGCAUACUGGGGCUGUAGUCGGUCCCAAGGGUUGGGCUGUUCGACCAUUAAAGCGGUACGCGAGCUGGGUUCAGAACGGCGUGAGACAGUUCGGUCCCUAUCCGACGCGGGCGUAGGAAAUUUGAGAGGAGCUGUACUUAGUACGAACGAACCGAGAAAAACACAC